rnacentral:rRNA from 1 species
AUUGAACGCUGGCGGCAGGCUUAACACAUGCAAGUCGAGCGGAGAGAGGUAGCUUGCUACUGAUCUUAGCGGCGGACGGGUGAGUAAUGCUUAGGAAUCUGCCUAUUAGUGGGGGACAACAUUUCGAAAGGAAUGCUAAUACCGCAUACGUCCUACGGGAGAAAGCAGGGGAUCUUCGGACCUUGCGCUAAUAGAUGAGCCUAAGUCGGAUUAGCUAGUUGGUGGGGUAAAGGCCUACCAAGGCGACGAUCUGUAGCGGGUCUGAGAGGAUGAUCCGCCACACUGGGACUGGGACACGGCCCAGACUCCUACGGGAGGCAGCAGUGGGGAAUAUUGGACAAUGGGCGGAAGCCUGAUCCAGCCAUGCCGCGUGUGUGAAGAAGGCCUUAUGGUUGUAAAGCACUUUAAGCGAGGAGGAGGCUACUUUAGUUAAUACCUAGAGAUAGUGGACGUUACUCGCAGAAUAAGCACCGGCUAACUCUGUGCCAGCAGCCGCCGUAAAAC